rnacentral:rRNA from 1 species
ACUCAAAUGAAUUGACGGGGGCCCGCACAAGCGGUGGAGCAUGUGGUUUAAUUCGACGCAACGCGAAAAACCUUACCUGGGUUUGACAUGCCGAGAAUCCUGAUGAAAGUCGGGAGUGCCCCGCAAGGGGAAUUCGGACACAGGUGCUGCAUGGCUGUCGUCAGCUCGUGCCGUGAGGUGUUGGGUUAAGUCCCGCAACGAGCGCAACCCUCAUCCUUAGUUGCCAUCAUUAAGUUGGGCACCCUAAGGAAACUGCCGCAGUUAAUGCGGAGGAAGGUGGGGAUGACGUCAAGUCCUCAUGGCCCUUAUAUCCAGGGCUACACACGUGCUACAAUGGGUGGGAACAAAGGGUCGCCAAACCGUGAGGUGGAGCCAAUCCCAGAAAACCAUCCUUAGUUCGGAUUGGAGUCUGCAACUCGACUCCAUGAAGUUGGAAUCGCUAGUAAUCGCGGAUCAGAACGCCGCGGUGAAUACGUUCCCGGGCCUUGUACACACCGCCCGU